rnacentral:rRNA from 1 species
AUUGAACGCUGGCGGCAGGCUUAACACAUGCAAGUCGAACGGUAGCAGGAGAAAGCUUGCUUUCUUGCUGACGAGUGGCGGACGGGUGAGUAAUGCUUGGGAAUCUGGCUUAUGGAGGGGGAUAACGACGGGAAACUGUCGCUAAUACCGCGUAUUAUCGGAAGAUGAAAGUGCGGGACUGAGAGGCCGCAUGCCAUAGGAUGAGCCCAAGUGGGAUUAGGUAGUUGGUGGGGUAAAUGCCUACCAAGCCUGCGAUCUCUAGCUGGCCUGAGAGGAUGACCAGCCACACUGGAACUGAGACACGGUCCAGACUCCUACGGGAGGCAGCAGUGGGGAAUAUUGCGCAAUGGGGGGAACCCUGACGCAGCCAUGCCGCGUGAAUGAAGAAGGCCUUAGGGUUGUAAAGUUCUUUCGGUAUUGAGGAAGGUUGAUGUGUUAAUAGCACAUCAAAUUGACGUUAAAUACAGAAGAAGCACCGGCUAACUCCGUGCCAGCAGCCGCGGUAAUACGGAGGGUGCGAGCGUUAAUCGGAAUAACUGGGCGUAAAGGGCACGCAGGCGGUUAUUUAAGUGAGGUGUGAAAGCCCCGGGCUUAACCUGGGAAUUGCAUUUCAGACUGGGUAACUAGAGUACUUUAGGGAGGGGUAGAAUUCCACGUGUAGCGGUGAAAUGCGUAGAGAUGUGGAGGAAUACCGAAGGCGAAGGCAGCCCCUUGGGAAUGUACUGACGCUCAUGUGCGAAAGCGUGGGGAGCAAAAAAGGG